rnacentral:rRNA from 1 species
GACAGCAGCAUUACCACCAAGUAGCCUGAUCUCAUCAUCAGAAGCUCAACAGGGCUGGUCCUGGUCAGCACUGGGAUGGGAGACCUCCAGUGCUACCCAGGUUGCUACUGUUA